GACGAACGCUGGCGGCGUGCUUAACACAUGCAUGUCGAGCGAGCAGAUUCCCUUCGGGGAUGAAGCUAGCGGCGGACGGGUGAGUAACACGUGGGCAACCUGCCUUAUAGAGGGGGAUAGCCUUCCGAAAGGAAGAUUAAUACCGCAUAACAUCAGAUUAUCGCAUGGUAGACUGAUCAAAGGAGCAAUCCGCUAUAAGAUGGGCCCGCGUCGCAUUAGCUAGUUGGUGAGGUAACGGCUCACCAAGGGGACGAUGCGUAGCCGACCUGAGAAGGUGAUCGGCCACAUUGGGGAUGAGACACGGCCCAGUCUCCUACGGGAGGCAGCAGUGGGGAAUAUUGCACAAUGGGGUAAACCCUGAUGCAGCAACGCCGCGUGAGUGAUGAAGGCCUUCUGGUUGUAAAGCUCUUUGAUCAGGGACGAUAAUGACGGUACCUGAAGAACAAGCCACGGCUAACUACGUGCCAGCCGCCGCCGUAAAAC
rnacentral:rRNA from 1 species